UGAACGAAGAGUUUGAUCCUGGCUCAGGAUAAACGCUGACAGAAUGCUUAACACAUGCAAGUCAACCGGAAGCAGCCUUCGGGCUGUGGUAGGUGGCGGACGGGUGAGUAACACGUAAAGAACUUGCCCCGCAGACCGGGAUAACGCGGUGAAAACUGUGCUAAUACCGGAUAUUAUGGAGAGGUCGCAUGAUCUUUUCAUGAAAGCUAUACGCACUGCGGGAGAGCUUUGCGCUCCAUUAGUUAGUUGGCAGGGUAAAGGCCUACCAAGACCGUGAUGGAUAGCCGGCCUGAGAGGGUGAACGGCCACAAGGGGACUGAGACACGGCCCUUACUCCUACGGGAGGCAGCAGUGGGGAAUAUUGGACAAUGGACCAAGAGUCUGAUCCAGCAAUUCUGUGUGCACGAAGAAGUAUUUCGG
rnacentral:rRNA from 1 species